rnacentral:rRNA from 1 species
AAUGAACGCUGGCGGCAGGCCUAACACAUGCAAGUCGAACGGAUCCUUCGGGAUUAGUGGCGGACGGGUGAGUAACGCGUGGGAACAUACCCAAAGGUACGGAAUAGCCUCGGGAAACUGGGAGUAAUACCGUAUGUGCUCGAAAGGGGAAAGAUUUAUCGCCUUUGGAUUGGCCCGCGUUGGAUUAGGUAGUUGGUGGGGUAAUGGCCUACCAAGCCGACGAUCCAUAGCUGGUUUGAGAGGAUGAUCAGCCACACUGGGACUGAGACACGGGCCAGACUCCUACGGGGGGCAGCAGUGGGGAAUCUUAGACAAUGGGGGAAACCCUGAUCUAGCCAUGCCGCGUGAUCGAUGAAGGCCUUAGGGUUGUAAAGAUCUUUCAGGUGGGAAGAUAAUGACUGUACCACCAGAAGAAGCCCCGGCUAACUCCGUGCCAGCCGCCGCCGUAA